rnacentral:rRNA from 1 species
AACGAACGCUGGCGGCAUGCCUAACACAUGCAAGUCGAACGAGACCUUCGGGUCUAGUGGCGCACGGGUGCGUAACGCGUGGGAAUCUGCCCUUAGGUACGGAAUAACUCAGGGAAACUUGUGCUAAUACCGUAUGAUGUCGAGAGACCAAAGAUUUAUCGCCUAGGGAUGAGCCCGCGUAGGAUUAGCUAGUUGGUGGGUAAAGGCCUACCAAGGCUACGAUCCUUAGCUGGUCUGAGAGGAUGAUCAGCCACACUGGGACUGAGACACGGCCCAGACUCCUACGGGAGGCAGCAGUGGGGAAUAUUGGACAAUGGGCGAAAGCCUGAUCCAGCAAUGCCGCGUGAGUGAAGAAGGCCUUCGGUUGUAAGCUCUUUACCGGUAA